rnacentral:rRNA from 1 species
AGUGAACGCUGGCGGUAGGCCUAACACAUGCAAGUCGAACGGCAGCACAGGAGAGCUUGCUCUCUGGGUGGCGAGUGGCGGACGGGUGAGGAAUACAUCGGAAUCUACUCUGUCGUGGGGGAUAACGUAGGGAAACUUACGCUAAUAACGCAUGCGGCCUACAGGUGAAAGCAGGGGAUCUUCGGACCUUGCGCGAUUGAAUGAGCCGAUGUCGGAUUAGCUAGUUGGCGGGGUAAAGGCCCACCAAGGCGACGAUCUGUAGCUGGUCUGAGAGGAUGAUCAGCCACACUGGAACUGAGACACGGUCCAGACUCCUACGGGAGGCAGCAGUGGGGAAUAUUGGACAAUGGGCGCAAGCCUGAUCCAGCCAUACCGCGUGGGUGAAGAAGGCCUUCGGGUUGUAAAGCCCUUUUGUUGGGAAAGAAAUCCAGCUGGCUAAUACCCGGUUGGGAUGACGGUACCCAAAGAAUAAGCACCGGCUAACUUCGUGCCAGCAGCCGCAGUAA